GACGAACGCUGGCGGCGUGCCUAAUACAUGCAAGUAGAACGCUGAAGGAGGAGCUUGCUUCUCUGGAUGAGUUGCGAACGGGUGAGUAACGCGUAGGUAACCUGCCUGGUAGCGGGGGAUAACUAUUGGAAACGAUAGCUAAUACCGCAUAAUAGUAGAUGUUGCAUGACAUUUACUUAAAAGGUGCAAUUGCAUCACUACCAGAUGGACCUGCGUUGUAUUAGCUAGUUGGUGGGGUAACGGCUCACCAAGGCGACGAUACAUAGCCGACCUGAGAGGGUGAUCGGCCAAACUGGGACUGAGACACGGCCCAGACUCCUACGGGAGGCAGCAGUAGGGAAUCUUCGGCAAUGGACGAAAGUCUGACCGAGCAACGCCGCGUGAGUGAAGAAGGGUUUCGGAUCGUAAAGCUCUGUUGUAAGAGAAGAACGAGUGUGAGAGUGGAAAGUUCACACUGUGACGGUAUCUUACCAGAAAGGGACGGCUAACUACGUG
rnacentral:rRNA from 1 species